rnacentral:rRNA from 1 species
CCUACGGGAGGCAGCAGUGAGGAAUAUUGGUCAAUGCCCGUAAGGCUGAACUAGCCAAGUCGCGUGAAGGAAGAAGGAUCUAUGGUUUGUAAACUUCUUUUAUCGGGGAAUAAAGGUAUCCACGUGUGGCUAUUUGCAUGUACCCUAUGAAUAAGCAUCGGCUAACUCCGUGCCAGCAGCCGCGGUAAUCCGGAGGAUCCGAGCGUUAUCCGGAUUUAUUGGGUUUAAAGGGUGCGUAGGUUGGUUUUUAAGCAAGCGGUGAAAGUUUGUGGCUCAACCAUAAAAUUGCCGUUGAAACUGGAAGACUUGAGUGUGUUUGAGGUAGGCGGAAUGCGUGGUGUAGCGGUGAAAUGCAUAGAUAUCACGCAGAACUCCGAUUGCGAAGGCAGCUUACUAAGCCAUAACUGACACUGAAGCACGAAAGCGUGGGGAUCAAACAGGAUUAGAUACCCCUGUAGUC